rnacentral:rRNA from 1 species
UGCCUAACAGCUAGCCCACCCAAACAAUUUCAACAAACCCCUGUUAAUAACCCCUAAGUACCCCAGUAUUUAUUUUAAACAAACCAUUUUUCCCCCUCAGUAUAGGCGAUAGAAAAGGGCCCACGGCGCAAUAGAGAAAGUACCGCAAGGGAACGCUGAAAGAGAAGUGAAACAACCCAGUAAAGCCUAAAAAAGCAGAGAUCUAAACUCGUACCUUUUGCAUCAUGAUUUAGCAAGUGUAACCCAAGCAAAGCGUACUUUAGUUUGACGUCCCGAAACUAGGUGAGCUACUCCAAGACAGCCUAUCAAUAGGGCGUACCCGUCUCUGUGGCAAAAGAGUGGGGAGAGCUUUGAGUAGAGGUGACAAACCUACCGAACCUAGUUAUAGCUGGUUGUCCAAGAAAUGAAUAGAAGUUCAGCCUUUCAGCUUCUCUUUUCACCUUAGUCUGACCCCUAUUGAUGCAUUAAAGAAACCGAAAGAGUUAGUCAAAGGGGGUACAGCCCCUUUGAAUCAAGACACAACUUUACCAGGAGGGUAAAGAUCAUAAUAAUUAAAGCUAAAUGUUCUGGUGGGCCUAAAAGCAGCCAUCCCCUUAGAAAGCGUUAAAGCUCAGACAUGCGACCAUACUUCUUAUCCUGAUCACUUAAUCUUACCCCCCUAACCGUACUGGACCAUCCCAUGCCAACAUGGGAGUGACUAUGCUGAAAUGAGUAAUAAGAGAGCUACCGGCUCUCUCCCUGCACACGUGUAUAUCGGAACGGACAACCCACCGAACCUUAACGGCCCCAAAUAAAGAGGGCAGUGGAUGUUAGACCAAAAAACUAGAAAAAUAUCCAAAAACCAACCGUUAAACCCACACAGGUGUGCCCCCAGGGAAAGACUAAA